CUUCAGUGCAACUCCGUAGCAGAUGGAACAUGAGACGCAGAGCCAGAAAUGGCUGGUGCAUCUUCCCAGCUUUCUUUCUUGGGAGCUCAUUAGAUUUCUGCUGAGAUGCUGCCUGGCUGGCUGAGUUCCUCCAGCACUUCGUGCACGUUGCUCGGAUUUCCAACAUCUGCAGUCCUAGAAUCAUAUAGCAGGAAACAGGCUCUUCAGUUCACGAGUCCACUGUGACCCAGCAGUUCUGUAAAGAACCACCAGUCGGUGACACUACAUGAAUCUGUGAGUGCUGGGUGUGAUCGUAUACACUGCAGUGCACAGCUACAGGACCUACCCACGGGAAAUGCAACUGCAUCUGACCCCUCGCUCUGCCCCUGCCAACCAGGGUGGUCUGGUUUGCCCUGAGCUGAGAGCUGGAUAACAGUCAACAUGAAUAAAAUGGGUUUCGAUUGGGUUGCCAAGUUCUAUUAAAAUUGUUGGUUUAGUUCCACGCAUAUACUGUAUUUGACCAUGUAUGUGUGUUUAGAAUUGAGUAACAGUAGUUCUUUUUUUAUAUAUUUAUCAUUAUAAUGUUUUUAAAUAAUUUGAGCUUUAAAUCAUAUUCGAUUCACUUCUAAUGCUUACCUGUGACACUCAAGAGGUGAAAGAGGCUUCAGUCAUUAUGAGUUGUUGGAGAUUUGCAGGGAUCAAUAGGUUCAGUAGGUACAUUUAAUGUCGGAGAAAUGUAUACAAUAUACAUCCUGAAAUUCUUUUUCUUUGCAAACAUCCACAAAAACAGAGGAGUACCCCAAAGAGUGAAUGACAGUUAAACGUGUGACGAGAAUACACAUAAAUUAAGAUGUUAGCUGGCCUGGGCUGGCACCAGUGGGAUCAGCAGUUGGUCUGCCACCUGUCUUCAGGAGAGAGAGAGAUAAGGAAAACAAUGAAGCAGCAUUUGGAGAUGUUAAUGAAGGGGAAGGAGAGCUGUCAAGAUCGGCUCCCCCUUUGAACCCUGAACUGUUUGAAGUGAUGGACAGGCAAUACCUCAGCAGGGGGAUAAAAAGGGACAGGUUCGCUCAGGCAGGACACACACGACACCCCGAGGUAACGAGACUCUGGAAGCAGCGCGUCUCUCACAAGUCGGUGGGAAGUUUUGGACGGCUGGUCACGGGACAAGCCAUAGAUGCACAGGGUGGAAAGGCACGAUCGGCGGGAACCUGGUGUGUGUCCACCCUUGCCUGGGUGCCAGGUUCACUGCAGAGAAACGAUCGUAUCAGGAAACGGAGGGGUCACGAUCGGUGACCUCAGAUGACAUCACAAAGGACUCGCCCGAAAUCUGACUGCGAAGGUCUGUGUGGAAGCCAUUAUGAAUAUUCAUUCGUUUUGCUCUCUCUCUCCUUCCCCCCCACUGUCCAUCGCCACGGCAGCGAUUACUGCGAACUGAACUGAACUAAAUUGAACUGAACUUUGCGUCACUUUGAAACUGGUCAUUUACCC